rnacentral:rRNA from 2 species
AGACCCGAAACCCGGUGAUCUAGCCAUGGGCAGGUUGAAGGUUGGGUAACACUAACUGGAGGACCGAACCGACUAAUGUUGAAAAAUUAGCGGAUGACCUGUGGCUGGGGGUGAAAGGCCAAUCAAACCGGGAGAUAGCUGGUUCUCCCCGAAAGCUAUUUAGGUAGCGCCUCGUGAAUUCAUCUCCGGGGGUAGAGCACUGUUUCGGCUAGGGGGCCAUCCCGGCUUACCAACCCGAUGCAAACUGCGAAUACCGGAGAAUGUUAUCACGGGAGACACACGGCGGGUGCUAACGUCCGUCGUGAAGAGGGAAACAACCCAGACCGCCAGCUAAGGUCCCAAAGUCAUGGUUAAGUGGGAAACGAUGUGGGAAGGCCCAGACAGCCAGGAUGUUGGCUUAGAAGCAGCCAUCAUUUAAAGAAAGCGUAAUAGCUCACUGGUCGAGUCGGCCUGCGCGGAAGAUGUAACGGGGCUAAACCAUGCACCGAAGCUGCGGCAGCGAACGUAUCACCCAAGACAACUUUACGGAGUUGGCGAUUGACGGAGCGAAGCGACGUCAAAGCGUUCAUUAAAGUCGAGUUGGCUUAGGGAUACGUUCGUUGGGUAGGGGAGCGUUCUGUAAGCCUGUGAAGGUGUGUCGUGAGGCAUGCUGGAGGUAUCAGAAGUGCGAAUGCUGACAUAAGUAACGAUAAAGCGGGUGAAAAGCCCGCUCGCCGGAAGACCAAGGGUUCCUGUCCAACGUUAAUCGGGGCAGGGUGAGUCGACCC